AAUAAAUAAUUUAUCAAGUUUCAUAAUUGUGUACUUGUGUCAUAUAUGUUUGGGAAAUUAUUUUUAAUCUUUAUUCACCAAAUUUGCAAUUUGUAAUAUUUUUUUGUACUUUCAUAUAUGAUAACAUUUUUAAUUUCCCACAUUUUAUUUUUAAACUUAAGUAGGUGUUUUAACAGAAUACCUAUAACAGAUGACCCUAAAAAUUGUUUGAUAAUAAUAUAGAUUAGUAAUAUCUAAUUAAGAUCAAUUAGACAAAAGAAUUUUAAAACAAUAGGAAUUUUAAAAACCCAUACAAAUACACAAUGCAAAACAAUGUAUCAAAUUUGAGGCCCAAGGCCCAUAUAAAUAAAUAAAUUCCGACCACAAACUUAUUAUAGAGAAAAAAAAUCUUUUUAGAAAGAUCAGCUCUUUUGAUCAAAAAAAAAAAAGAAAAAAGACCAGCUCGAAAAUAGAGUUUCUCUCUCCCUCUUUCUAUUACAACCGACCGGAUCUUGUCUCAGCUCAAACUUAAUCGAUUUGUAAAAAAAAUUGCUCAGAUCAGCCCAGGUACAUGUAAUAUCACUCGUUUUGUUGUUAGAUUAAAUAUAUUUUGUUGCAUGUAAUCUUAUUUUGAGGUGGAAUCUGAGAAUUUUAUUUUGAAUGAAAUUUCAGAUGUGACGGAUCCUCUGUUUCUUGCGACGAGAGAUCUGAGUGAAGCUGAUCUUAAUCGAGCUAAUAUAUGUGUCUGAAGUGUACUGGAGGGAAGGAAAGGUCAACAAAACCAAAGCGUUGAUCUUGUCUCCAUUGAAAAAGAAGAUGUCUGAAAAGAAACUCGUUUUUGUGUCUAUAGCAUCACCAAACAAUUUAACUCCUACAUCUGAAAAGCCUCUACUCUACUAUGGCCUAAACGCGUGGAAGACUGUGGAAGCUGACAUGAGUGGCUCUAUUCGUUUGAAACCAGAGCAGUAAAAAUAUACAUGGCUCCUAUGAAGAUCCCAGGUAAUCUAUUGACCAAAUAAUAAAUCUAUGUUACUUUUUAACAAAUCGUUUUUAUAAGCCAUAUAUAAACUCUUUUGUUUUCUUAUGGGGAAUGAAUGUUUUCUUUUGCAGGCGCUCAUUAUUAUAAAAGAAGUAAGAUGAUGUUAGUCUACAUUUUCUAGCUUUGUUUGUAGGUGCAUCAACAUUUUCUAAUUAGGUAAUGUUCUAGCUGAGUAGAAAACAGAAAAACAGUAACAGAUAAACUCAGUGAAUCUAAAAACAUUUUCUAGCUUUGUCUGUAGGUGCAUCAACAACAUGAUAGACGCAUGAAUUGCAUAUAUUGAUUCACUGAGUAGAAAACAGAAAAACAGUAACAGAUAACAAUGUCAUUGGUAAAGAAAAAGCACCAUAGUAUGGAUUUCCUGAACCGAAGUAGGUUGAUGGUUGAGUGAAAUGCUGAGAACCCUCGGAACUUUGUAAAUUCGGCUUUAAAUUAGAAACAUCUCCCAACACUUGUCUAAAGGCAGAGUCGGAUUUGGUUCCAUCAGUCAAUUUAGAAUCUGCUAGACUUUGACAUGUAGGUUGAUGAUUUGUUCUUCUCUUCCUUGUAUUGUCUUCUUUGUUCUUCAUGUUUGUUGUAAUGGUAACUGCAUUUCGAGAAGUUAGUUUUCCAUUGGUGUUUUAUCGUAAUCUAUGGUGUUCUGUAAUGAUGGGUGUUAGGGUUAUGUUUAGACACAACGUGGGUUAGCUAAUGAACUCCCUUAUUAUUGGAUAACUAAAUUAUUUUAAUACUUUUUAGUUUCCUUUAUAUAAGGAGAUAUAAACAUUUAACAUGAAACCACUUGUUUAAAUUCAUAUAUGAUAUGGCAGAGUACAAUAACAUGUAGCUGAUUGUCAAUAUAUCAUUCCUAUUGUUUUAAUUCAAAUAAUUUUUUAUAAAUUUAAAAAUCUCUAUUUUAAAACAUUAGUUAGAGUAGAUAAAAACAAAGUAUGAUGUAUGUAAUGUGAGCAGAUUCCUUUGAAUCAGUAUAUCAAAAAUAGUAAUCAAGUAUUUUCUUAUAAUAGAAUGUAAGUCUCAAUUGUAAGUACUGCAAAUUGAAAAAUAAUCUAGCAAAGGAACGCAAAUAUUGGAAAUCUUUAUUACAAAUUAAACUUGAAAUAACUGAAACAAAUCUGCAAAUAAGCACUUAUUGUGAAAACAUAAACAGAAAACAAAAACAGAAAAUAAACAAAGAACCACUUUGGUUUCUUCAUUAGCCACUUUUCUUGGAGCUUGAGUCCUCUUUAGUGGUCUUUUCUUUCUUCACAAAAACUCUAGCGCACUGCUUCUUUGUUGUAGAACUUAUGUCAGGUUCACCUUCAUUGGAUUGUUGUUUGCGUUUAGAUGAUGGGGUUACCACAGUGUCUUCGUUUGCCUGACUUUCGAUAACUAAAAGUGAACCCUGUACAAACAAUUUACAUAUGAAUCUGGUGCAGUCGUAUACAUUCAGUUAAAAUUCUAAAAAUCUAAAAUACAAAACCAUACCUGUGAACCACUUAAAUUAGUAGUUCCCACAUCAGACUGAGUCCAUGACUCAGUGGUGCUACCACCAGUCAGUAGCAUACUUAGAUCUUUCCAUACUUUACCAACUUUAUACAUCCCACCUUUGCUAGCAACAUUGUUACUCUCAAUGUAAAUACCAAACAUGAAAGUCUUUCCAACCAAAUCAGUAAUGGCCUCAGGAAAAGAUUCAAUAUCUUGUAGCUGUAAUAUUCAGUAUAUGUUAGAAGUUAUAUAUUCUGAAAGUGUAUAAUAGAGUUGUGAAAUACAGGUUAUAACCUCCUCAAAUGAACCGUUGAGCAAGGCAGCAGCAUUUUCAGGAAUAACUCUGAUUGCAAUCUAGUCAAGUAACAUUAGGUAAGCUUCUCCAGUACCAUCUUUCACCCAUACAUGAAUCCUGAACCUGCAUCACAUAUUUUAAAUUAGCAACUUAUGAAAUUGAAAUAUAGACUACAAAACUCGCUUAACAAAUGUAUUAUUUUGGCAAGACUUUAGUGACUUUAUCAUCACACUUUUCACACCACCACAAAUGAGUUGUUAUCUCAUUCCCCUUGACGUUUUGAACUUUUGUUGAAAUCUUGUUGACCUUUUUGUUGCAAGCUUUGCAUCCAAAAUAGUACCAUCCCCAAUCCUUGUCAAUUGCAUAAAUUGUGGCAAUGAUUCUGCAUUGCUCAAUCUACAUUUACAAAAGUAAAGGUAGUCCUUUAAGCAUUGAUACUGUUAGAAUAUAAUUUGCAUCAAAACUAUUACCUGAGUUGAAGAUAGUAGCUCUGCAAUGUCUCUGAUUGGGUAUUGCAUCCAUUUAUCGCGUCUAAUCUCUCUUUCAAGUUUGUCUUGUUCGGAUUCAACCAAUGUCAAAGCAUUGGAUGCAACAUCCCUAUUAAAGUCAGCCCCAAUAAAUUUAUUUUAAUAAACAUAGGUAUAGCUUUUCAUUUUAUAAACAAUUUAAAUACCUUUUCAAAAAGGCCUCAGUCUCCAUUAUUGGCAGGUUGAAAAAGAUUUGAGAAGCAUCAUAUGAAUUUGAAAUUUGAACCUCAUCUGACAUAAAUAAACAAACGAUUUUGUGAGUUCCAAUCUUAAAGGUACUAUGAUAUGAUAAAUGAUAAGUGAUAAUAGAGGAUUGCCUCUAUAGGUGCCGACUUUCACAAAACAUAAGAGACAGAUAACAAUAUCUCCACCAACUGCUUUGCAAUUAGCUUGAAUGCUUUCAGCAAAUUUUCCCCAUAGACAGCAAGCAAUCCUACGGCCUCUGUCAAAAUAAAAAAGUCAAACUAUUAGUUUUAGUAAUAUGAUAUAAGGAAAAAACAAAUGGGAUGACUUACUGAAGGUCUGUCAAACUGAACUCAAUUUUCUUUAUUUUUUUACCAUAACACAGAACUGUGUCAAGAGGUCCCAAAUCCGUCACUUCUCCAAUAACAUCUGAAAUAGAUCAAAAUUAAUUAACAAAAUGUAUUUAUCAAACUUAAAAUAUCAAUAGUUACCAAUUAAGAUGUUUUCAUCUUCUACUCCCUGUUGAAUAGUCUGGAAAUCAACCAAACUGAGAAACAUGUUGUCGUUUUGCAGGGUUGACGGAGUGAUAUCAGUUCCAUAGAUGAAAUUGAUCUUGUAUUGAUGAUUGGUAGGCCUGUAGGAAACACUGGGGCCAUUGAUGGAGAAAUUUUCAAUGUUUCUCCACGUUCCAACAAGUACUUUUUUUGCAAACUUCUCAAAGUAUGUCUUCUUACAGGACGCAAGAAUUUUUGUUCCCUUAAAAAUAACAAAUUGCAGCGAUUUAGAAAGUAGAAUUGGAGACAAAAGGUAAACUAAGUUAUGAGACUUACAUGUGCAUCAGACAUAAUGAUUUCCAAUGUUUCUCCUGAAAGUUUUGUGUAAUGCUUCCAGGUGUGGAGCACCUUAACUUGAAUACGCCAUUCUGACUUGAAUGGUUUGAUGUCAGCCAAAGCCGUGAGUUCCAUGCUUAAAGGUACUUUCUGAAUUAGAUUUGGAUUGUCAAUUAAGCUUUAAAGAAGUGUUAAAUAUUAUUAGCUAUCGUAAAUAUAGUGGUAAAGUCCAGAAAAUAUAUUAGUAGGAAAUUUAAAUGGUGCUAAAGUCCAGAAAUAUAUUUUAAAUGGUCCUGAUCAAAUAGAAAACAGCUUGUAAAAGCGGAAGUUGCAUAUAAAUAGAGGUUUCCUACUAUUAAGGAGUGGUGGUUAUUUUCGAAAAAGAAAAUGAUGUGGUGGUUAGUUUUGAAAAUUAAAAAGGCAUAGUAGUUAUCACAUUAAAAAGGUAUGUAUCGUUAAAAAUAGUUGUUGGAUCCAACUUUUAUCAAUGGGUCAAACAUGUGUUUUAAUAGAAUAUAGAUAAAUAGAAGGAGUAAAGUAAAAAGUAAACAGUGUUUUAAAAGUCGGUACAAUGCCCCUUCAAAUUUGAGGGUGCACUGUUCACCCUUUAAAAUUUGAAGGAACGAAAAACCUUUAAAAAAUAAAGUGCUAUGCUCUAAGACCAUCCGCAAUGGUGAGACUCAUUGAAGUCCUUAGCACAAGGGCAUUUCAGAUUAAUCUUGGAUAUUUUGGAUUUUUCUUAAAAAAAAAAAAAAAAAAAAAAAGAUGACCAUUCACGGGCCGCCACGUAGUCAAUGAGACCCGUGAACAGUGUAAGGAUCAAUCCUUAUCAAAGGAUUUUAAGGAUUCUUUUUUGCACAAACUCUAAAAAAAUGGGUUCCACAUCCUCUAAGGAUUCCCUUAAGAGCUCCCAUUGUGGAUGCUCUAAGCAUGAGAGACUGAAGCUCACACUCAAGAGAUGGAGAGUGAGAGUAAGUGAUGUGAUGUAGUCAAUUCUUGUUCCUCUAUGGCGUCCACUUCAUAUCUACUGAGUACUGAUGAUGAUCAAAACUGGCAAAGCUUUCAAAUUUAUCAAACCAUUAGAUUUGAACUAUAUAGUUGACCAUAAAUACUUGAAACUGUUACUAUUGUACAUUCAUUAAGACAACUGUGAAUAAAAUGAAUUAAAACUGCCUUUGU